AUUGCCCAUCUGUUCAAAUGGGUGGGCUGGGUAGACUCAGAGCCAAUGGUUCUCUGAGAUGAAGCCUUAUGUGCUGUCUGCUGGUCUUUCCUGAGUCUCAUGGGGCAGAAGGGUUUUGAGAGCAUUCAUCAGUUAAUGCAUCACUUGUUCAUUAAAGAUUCUUUCUAGACAUUCCACUUUUCCAGGCAUUCAACCCCCAUUCCCAACCGUGCCGACAAAUUGCUGCUUGAAGUUCCUGGUCCCAGAGGCCUUCUUAAAAUGUUCAGGAAUGCAGGCAUGGAAGGUAAGGAGGGGAGUGUGGGGGCGUGCUGGCUGGAGGCCAGCAGCCACAGCCGCGGGAGGAAGGGACAGAAGGGUGGGGUGCAGGCACCCCGAGAUUGCUCAGACAGCAAGGCGGUCAGUGGCAUCCUGACUUUGAAAGCAAUCCAAAACAAGGCCUGCGUCUUAGUCUCCAGUGAUGUCACAGCUAAUCAUUAGCCUGGUAAUUACAUUGAAAGCCUUCUGCGAUCUUAUCCUCAGCAGGGUCAUUAAUGCAAGGCAACCACACCAGUAAAUGUCUCAUUAGUCUUAUUUGAGACUUAUGUAUUUUUCAGGACUACAGAAUUUUAAUAGUCUGCUUUCCUCUCAGCUCCCCCUCCUGCGACAUUAAUAUCUAUUCCUCAUGCCAGACUCUUCCAACACAGCCCCCUCCCUGUUUUCCCUGCCUAAAUCCCCCAAGAGGAAGGCCCAGCAUGGAAGGGAGGCUGGAGUGGGGGUUGGUAGGGGAGAGUCUUUGGCUUCCUCGCUAGCCCCAGCUCUGUUUCUGGCCCCAGUCUUUUUCCUGUAAUGACAGCCUUGUCCUGUGUAUUCUAUGUCUUCCUCAGGAAGCCUCACUCUUUAUUUUAACCCUCUUUAAACCGUUUUUUUCCCUUAUUAUUAAAGAAAUGUAUGCUCAUUACAAAGACAGGAAGAAAAAAUUACUGUUAAUCUCAGACUUCAGGAAGAAUGAUUCCCCGACCGUCUCUUGCUCCCCACUCCAGCUGUGCUGGCUUUUCUUCUGUCCCUGGAGUGGGCUGGUCCUCUCCCCUCUCAGAGCCUUUGAACAUUGCUGUGCCUUCUGCCCAGAGCACUUUCCUUUCUACUCUGCCCCUAGCUGACUCCUGCUCAUUCUUCAGGUUGCAACUCAAACAUCACUUCCUCCUAGGAGCCCUUCCUGCCUGCCGUUCUCAUUCAAGUUUAGAAUUGUGCCUCUGUCAUUUGAUGCCAUAGUCUCUGCCACACAUCCCACAGGU
rnacentral:lncRNA from 1 species